UCCUGCAGGCCCGACUCUACUGCUUCUCUGUCUUAUUCCCAAUGGUCACCUUGAGUGAUUGAUACCACGUGUUGUCCUGAUGGUGCCUCGUUGCUGUAGGACUUAGCAGAAGAAAUGCAGAGGUCGUAAGCGCACUGCUCCCUGAGUCAUCAAGAGAGUGAACACGCUGUGUGAGCAGCACCCAGAUGGAGAGAAAUGGAACAUGACCGGCCCUCCGAAGCCCCCCUCCUGCCCGUGCUCCCCUCCAGCCACUACUAUCCGCCAAUAGAAUCUUGGCCUUCUCUUCUGAUGGAGCCAAGGUGAGGACCCAGAGUUGUGUGGCUGUUGGAGUCAAGACCACUGUCCACUGCUCCACCCCCAAUAGGGCCCAGUGUGGAGUAUUAACAGGAAAAUCCCUGG